UGAUGAACGGAUUUUAGCUAGUUAAGAACUAUACUCGCAACGUAUUUCUAUAUUGAUUUCUUAAUUGGCCGACUUCCGCCACCCAUCAACGGCGGCGACAGGGACCCGCGGAGGCGACGACGGAUGCGAGGGCAGGAGCUUCUCCUUCCUUGCGCACGCUCUCUGCUCCCUGAUGACAGCGAGGCAACCCAACAACAGCGGCGGUGAGACAGUGGCGCGAUGGCGACCUGGCAAGCCCAGCAACGGCGGGGAGUAGGCCCACCAUCGCUGGUGCGUCUUCUUCCUUCUCUCCCUCUCAGAUAUCACUCUCUUCCCUUCCCUGAUCGCUUUUCCCCAUUUCUUUCUUCCCUUUCUCACUACAAGAGAGGCACAGAAUAGCGGCAAAAAAUUUCCAGCCUUUUACCCAACCGCUGUAAAUUUCAGGAAUACCAGCAAUUGAUUUUCAUGUGCCGCUAAUCAGGAUCUUUAUCAUAAUUCAUUUAUUCUAUCUCUUUUUUAUCUUAUAAGUUAUAACUAAUAAUUUCCCCAAAGCUACAGAAACCGGCGAACUGAGAUUGGUAGCGCCGCGAAGCCCUAACGUUGCUGCUCCACCGUGUGCUACUGCUGCCCAGCCAUCCUCCUCUCUCCGGUGUCGACGUUUUGCCUCUCCUCCACAGUGCGUGAAACCCCUACUCCCUUCUCUUCCUGGCGUCGACCUUUUGCCUCUCCUCCACGGUGUGCGAAACCCCUGCUUCCUCCUCCAUGGUUGUUGCUGCUACUGACUGCUGUAUAUAUUCUUGGACUAAAGUGAAAUAUACUAAUACAAUUUGGUAUUGUAUUGCUUUACAUCUGGAUGUGGAAUAAAGUCGCUUAGUAAUUUGGUUAUUCAACUUAGGAAAGUUUGUAACCUUCCUGACCUCUUAGAGUAUGCCUUUGAUGGUUCAUGGCUUUAUCCUCCUAUAAAUGAGAUAGUUGAACAAUGUGAAAAAUUUCGUUUGCUUGAACGGCUGUUGGAAAGGUUAUUUGCAAGGAAACACAAAGUUUUGAUAUUUAGUCAGUGGACCAAAGUGUUAGACAUACUGGAUUACUAUUUGAGUGAGAAGGGCUUUGAAGUUUGUAGGAUUGAUGGUAGUGUGAAAUUGGAUGAAAGAAAACGGCAGGUCUGUGCCAGUUCAUGAAUAGCAUUAGCAUGAGCUGUUAAUUUGAAUUUAUUUGUUCUUGUUAUAAGUUUUAUAUACUUCUUUAGAUUUUUAAUCCAAGUUAUACAAUUUAUUAAUAUUAAUUUAUAACAUGGUUGUCUACAAAUUUUAUUCCAAGUUGUGCUCACAUGCUAAUCAUAUAAUGGAAACCAUCCAGCGGCAUUUGAAGAAUGAGAAGGCUAUAGCUACAUGUGGCUCGAUUCUUGGAAUCACGGGAGAUGAUAGAGGAUGCUCUUGAAGUAGCUACUGACCUUGAUUACAGAUUUGAACUAGCAAUACAACUUGGAAGAUUAGAAGUUGCAAAGGUUUGUUGUUGUAAUGCCUACAAAGAGAUAUUAGUUGGCUUGUAAAAGUUGUUAACUUGGUUAUCAAAUUUCUCUAUUUGUGUUUCAGUUGAUAUUAGUUGGCUGAAGAUUGUUUGAUUUAUCUUAUGAAUUUGAGUGGGUUAUUAUUGUUG